UAUACUUCAAGCUCCAGCUUGGUGUUGAGCGGUAUCGUCUGUCGAUUCGUUCCAAACUCAUCGGCACUGGUUAUGGUGGUCCUGGCGUGACAGAAAUCUCUCGCUUGGGGUCCGACUUGCACCGGUCUGCCUGUUGACUUUUUUAGAAC
rnacentral:misc_RNA from 1 species